ensembl:lncRNA
AUGCAGCCCCGUGGGGCAGGAGAAAUCCACCAUGGCACCUCAGCCUCAGUAUCCUGGGCUACCAGGGUCCAAGCAGGCAGCACAGAGACAAGGAUGCAGAAAACAGGUAUGUACUCACAUUUCCAGCCGAAGAGUCCAUCGACCAGCAGUCCUUCAGCCCCCUGCAGUGCCUUCCCACUGGCAGUGGGUGGCUUUUCCUCAUGGCACAGCCUGAUUGCCCAGGGAAAUCCUCCUUCUCCAGGAGUCUCUUUUAAGACAAGUCUUCUUGAAGGCAUCUCAUGUUUCAUCACUCCACUGCAGCAUCCUGAAAUACUGUUUUCUUUCAUACCCAUGUUCACAUACAUCACAAAUGGGUCUGGAAUUGUAUCUCUCAGAUACGGUUUUGAGCUGUUCUUCCUGGCAUUGGUUUGUAAAGAGCAAUACUCACUUCUGACAGCCUGUAGGAUCUCCUUGGAGAUAUUUGAAAGCCACAUGGACAUGAUCCUGUGCAAAUGGCUCGAGGGACCUUGCUUUAGCAGGGGGUUUUGGACAAGAUGACCUCUAGUGGUCCCUUCCAAUCUCAACCUUUCUCUGAUUCAGUGGCAUCUUGUGAUGGGAUCCCUAAUCACCCACGCGCAGCUGGAGAUGUAUCAUGCUCAUCUCUCCCAAAGAAUAGUGGAUACAAGGCCAUGGACCUUGGAUUCAGUUUGCUGACACUCUUCUGGUGUGGCAGCUGGUGGUCUUUUGGGUACACCACUGUGCACGCCCCUUGUCUAAGCUGCAGUAUAGGUGUCUGGAAACAUUCUUGGCUGCCUGCAGUCCCGAGGGUUCUCUGUUACAUUUGGCUUAUCAGAUAUAAUACAGACUUAUGGGAAGCUCAAACCUUUUUGCGCUGGAACCAAAAUAAGAUGAUGUAGGAUGUUUCCAGCAGCAGUAGUUGCCUGUGUUCAAGCAGCUAAAGCAAGUUGGUUGCUCACUCCUUAAAUGCUGCUGAUUGUAAUGACUAGGUUGUCAUUGACUGAUGAAUGUGUAGGUGUUGACUUAUGUAUAGAUGUCUACAGCUGGCUGUCCUAAUCUGGAGCUGAAUCCCAUUCCUAUAUCCAGUCAACUGAAUCUCUCUCCUUACUCUUUACCUUCUGGUGGGAGGAACUGAUUACUAUGGGAUGAACUAUAUCAGUAUGCCAGAAAUCUGUUGGCAUAUUUGUCCUGAAAGUAUGCACAAUUUUUUUUAUGACUUUGCUGGGAUAUUGCUACAGGUUAGGUUUAUGCAUGCUGAAGUCAUGUGUUCUUAUGACAGUGAUUUGUUUUAGACAUGCUUGAAAGCUAACCUUGUGAAGCAGAGAAAAAGGCUUAAACAUUUGGUAGUCAAAGUACAGAUUUUAUGGCUUAUUUCUGUACUCUGUAAUAUUUUGAACAGUUAUAUUAAAUAUAUUAAUUUGUUCAUUGUACAGAUCAUGUGCAUUUCUCAGCAUUUUGCAACAAAACCUAAAAUGUCCAAACCCGUUACAGACUUUGAGGAAUGCACUAAUUCCUGGAUUUGUAACAAACAAAACAAUGUGUGAACAAUUUUCAGAAAAUCAGUGAGACUAUCUAGGCAGAGAUAACUUGCUGAAGAACUCACUUCUCCCAUAUGUCUUCCUCAGAUCAUUCUUCUUUGUUGUGUAAUCUGUAGAUCAUUGGGUUCAGCAUAGGGGUUACUACUGUGUAAGAAGGAGCCACCAGUUUCCUGCUGUUUGCCAAGAGACUGGACUUUGGCUUUAAAUGUAUCAAGCCAGUUGUGCAGUAGAACAGCAUCACCACUACCAGGUAAGAAAUACAGGUGAAAAAAGCUUUGUGUCGUCAUUCUGCAGAUGGCAUUUGGAGAAUGGUGUGGAUUAUCUGGAUGUAAGAGGCUGCUAUCAAGAUAAAUGGAAUCAAAACAAUUAAAACAGUAGCGACAAACACAAGAAGCUCAAAUAAGUAUGUGUCUGAACAAACCAGAUCCAGAACAGGAGUGGUGUCACAAAAGAAAUGUUCAAUCUCCUUUGAGCCGCAAUAGUGGUAGCUAAAGAAGGCUGAGGUUCUCUACCCUGGAUUUGGAGAAGGCUGAGGUUCUUAAUGACUUCUUUGCCUCAGUCUUCACCGACAAAUGCUCUGACCACACCACCCAAGUCUUGGAAGGCAGAUGCAGGGACAGUGAGAAUGAAGACCCUGGGCCCACUGUAGGAGAGGAUCUGGUUCGAGACCAUCUUAGGA